GACGUAGGAGGCGAGCGUUAUCCGGAUUCACUGGGCGUAAAGCGCAUGUAGGCGGUUGCACAAGUCCGUUGUUAAAGCCCCUGGCUCAACUGGGGGAGGUCAAUGGAGACUGUGCGACUUGAGGGCAAUAGAGGCACGUGGAACUCCCGGUGUAGCGGUGAAAUGCGUAGAUAUCGUAAGGAAGACCAGUGGCGAAGGCGGGUCUCUGGACAGUUCCUGACGCUGAGGCACGAAGGCCAGGGGAGCAAACGGG
rnacentral:rRNA from 1 species